rnacentral:rRNA from 1 species
GAUGAACGCUGGCGGCGUGCCUAAUACAUGCAAGUCGAGCGAACAGAUGAGAAGCUUGCUUCUCUGAUGUUAGCGGCGGACGGGUGAGUAACACGUGGGUAACCUACCUAUAAGACUGGGAUAACUCCGGGAAGCCGGGGCUAAUACCGGAUAAUAUUUUGAACCGCAUGGUUCAAUAGUGAAAGACGGUUUCGGCUGUCACUUAUAGAUGGACCCGCGCCGUAUUAGCUAGUUGGUAAGGUAACGGCUUACCAAGGCGACGAUACGUAGCCGACCUGAGAGGGUGAUCGGCCACACUGGAACUGAGACACGGUCCAGACUCCUACGGGAGGCAGCAGUAGGGAAUCUUCCGCAAUGGGCGAAAGCCUGACGGAGCAACGCCGCGUGAGUGAUGAAGGUCUUCGGAUCGUAAAACUCUGUCGUUAGGGAAGAACAAAUUUGUUAGUAACUGAACAAGUCUUGACGGUACCUAACCAGAAAGCCACGGCUAACUACGUGCCAGCAGCCGCCGUAA